rnacentral:rRNA from 1 species
AUUGAACGCUGGCGGCAUGCCUUACACAUGCAAGUCGAACGGCAGCACGGGGCAACCUGGUGGCGAGUGGCGAACGGGUGAGUAAUGCAUCGGAACGUACCUUUCAGUGGGGGAUAACGUAGCGAAAGUUACGCUAAUACCGCAUAUUCUGUGAGCAGGAAAGCAGGGGAUCGCAAGACCUUGCGCUGAUUGAGCGGCCGAUGUCAGAUUAGCUAGUUGGUGAGGUAAAGGCUCACCAAGGCGACGAUCUGUAGCGGGUCUGAGAGGAUGAUCCGCCACACUGGAACUGAGACACGGUCCGGACUCCUACGGGAGGCAGCAGUGGGGAAUUUUGGACAAUGGGGGCAACCCUGAUCCAGCCAUGCCGCGUGAGUGAAGAAGGCCUUUGGGUUGUAAAGCUCUUUCGGCCGGGAAGAAAUCGCACGGGCUAAUACCCUGUGUGGAUGACGGUACCGGAAUAAGAAGCACUGGCUAACUACGUGCCAGCAGCCGCAGUAAAAC